rnacentral:rRNA from 1 species
AACGAACGCUGGCGGCAUGCCUAACACAUGCAAGUCGAACGAGAUCUUCGGGUCUAGUGCGCACGGGUGCGUAACGCGUGGGAAUCUGCCCUUUGGUUCGGAAUAACAGUUGGAAACGACUGCUAAUACCGGAUGAUGACGAAAGUCCAAAGAUUUAUCGCCAGAGGAUGAGCCCGCGUAGGAUUAGCUAGUUGGUGUGGUAAAGGCGCACCAAGGCGACGAUCCUUAGCUGGUCUGAGAGGAUGAUCAGCCACACUGGGACUGAGACACGGCCCAGACUCCUACGGGAGGCAGCAGUGGGGAAUAUUGGACAAUGGGCGAAAGCCUGAUCCAGCAAUGCCGCGUGAGUGAUGAAGGCCUUAGGGUUGUAAAGCUCUUUUACCCGGGAUGAUAAUGACAGUACCGGGAGAAUAAGCUCCGGCUAACUCCGUGCCAGCCGCCGCGUAAUAC